CCUACGGGUGGCAGCAGUGGGGAAUAGUGGACAAUGGGGGGAACCCUGAUCCAGCCAUGCCGCGUGUGUGAAGAAGGCCCUCGGGUUGUAAAGCACUUUCAGUGAGGAAGAACGCCUGGUGGUUAAUACCCAUCAGGAAAGACAUCACUCACAGAAGAAGCACCGGCUAACUCCGUGCCAGCAGCCGCGGUAAUACGGAGGGUGCGAGCGUUAAUCGGAAUUACUGGGCGUAAAGCGCGCGUAGGUGGCUUGAUAAGCCGGUUGUGAAAGCCCCGGGCUCAACCUGGGAACGGCAUCCGGAACUGUCAAGCUAGAGUGCAGGAGAGGAAGGUAGAAUUCCCGGUGUAGCGGUGAAAUGCGUAGAGAUCGGGAGGAAUACCAGUGGCGAAGGCGGCCUUCUGGACUGACACUGACACUGAGGUGCGAAAGCGUGGGUAGCAAACAGGAUUAGAUACCCCAGUAGUC
rnacentral:rRNA from 1 species